rnacentral:tRNA from 1 species
GCCGGUGUGGCGGAACAGGCAGACGCCGCGGACUUAAAAUCCGCUGAUACGAAAGUAUCGUACCGGUUCAAAUCCGGUCACCGGCACCA